UCUCCGUUGGUGAACCAGCGGAGGGAUCAUUACAGAGUUUUCUAACUCCCAAACCCAUGUGAACUUACCAUUGUUGCCUCGGCGGAGCCUACCCUGUAGCUACCCUAUAAGGUGGUUACCCUGUAGCGCCCCGCCGGUGGACUUUUUAACUCUUGUUAUUUUAUGUAAUCUGAGAGUCUUAUUUUAAAUAAGUCAAAACUUUCAACAACGGAUCUCUUGGUUCUGGCAUCGAUGAAGAACGCAGC
rnacentral:misc_RNA from 1 species